rnacentral:rRNA from 1 species
UACAGAGGGUGCGAGCGUUAAUCGGAAUUACUGGGCGUAAAGCGCGCGUAGGCGGCUUUGCAAGUCGAGUGUGAAAUCCCCCAGGCUUAACCCUGGGAACUGCAUUCGAGACUGCAUAGCUAGAGUAUGGGAGAGGGAAGUGGAAUUUCAGGUGUAGCGGUGAAAUGCGUAGAUAUCUGAAGGAACAUCAGUGGCGAAAGCGACUUCCUGGACCAAUACUGACGCUCAUGUGCGAAAGCGUGGGGAGCAAACAGG